rnacentral:rRNA from 1 species
CUGGAAACGGUGGCUAAUACCGCAUAACGUCGCAAGACCAAAGUGGGGGACCUUCGGGCCUCACACCAUCGGAUGAACCCAGAUGGGAUUAGCUAGUAGGUGGGGUAACGGCUCACCUAGGCGACGAUCCCUAGCUGGUCUGAGAGGAUGACCAGCCACACUGGAACUGAGACACGGUCCAGACUCCUACGGGAGGCAGCAGUGGGGAAUAUUGCACAAUGGGCGCAAGCCUGAUGCAGCCAUGCCGCGUGUAUGAAGAAGGCCUUCGGGUUGUAAAGUACUUUCAGCGGGGAGGAAGGGAUGGUGCUUAAUACGCGCCGUCAUUGACGUUACCCGCAGAAGAAGCACCGGCUAACUCCGUGCCAGCAGCCGCGGUAAUACGGAGGGUGCAAGCGUUAAUCGGAAUUACUGGGCGUAAAGCGCACGCAGGCGGUCUGUUAAGUCAGAUGUGAAAUCCCCGGGCUUAACCUGGGAACUGCAUUUGAAACUGGCAGGCUUGAGUCUCGUAGAGGGGGGUAGAAUUCCAGGUGUAGCGGUGAAAUGCGUAGAGAUCUGGAGGAAUACCGGUGGCGAA